AGAGCGAACGCUGGCGGCAGGCCUAACACAUGCAAGUCGAGCGCCCGUAGCAAUACGGGAGCGGCAGACGGGAUAGUAACACGUGGGAACGCGCCCUUCGGUUCGGAAUAACUCAGGGAAACUUGAGCUAAUACCGGAUACGCCCUUACGGGGAAAGAUUUAUUGCCGAAGGAACGGCCCGCGUCCGAUUAGCUAGUUGGUGAGGUAAUGGCUCACCAAGGCGACGAUCGGUAGCUGGUCUGAGAGGAUGACCAGCAUCACUGGGACUGAGACACGGCCCAGACUCCUACGGGAGGCAGCAGUGGGGAAUAUUGGACAAUGGGCGCAAGCCUGAUCCAGCCAUGCCGCGUGGAUGAUGAAGGCCUUAGGGUUGUAAAGUCCUUUUAACGGGGAAGAUAAUGACGGUACCGUAGAAUAAGCCCGGCUAACUUCGUGCCAGCAGCCGC
rnacentral:rRNA from 1 species